rnacentral:tRNA from 1 species
GCCGUGGUGGUGGAACUGGUAGACACGCUGUCUUGAGGGGGCAGUGGGCUAAGCUCGUGCGGGUUCGAGUCCCGCUCUCGGCACCA